UGAGCAACCUGCCCUUAGCUUUGGGAUAACCCUCGGAAACGGGGGCUAAUACCGAAUGUUCACUGCCGGGCGCAUGUUUGGUGGUGGAAAGUUUUUCGGCUGGGGAUGGGCUCGCGGCCUAUCAGCUUGUUGGUGGGGUGAUGGCCUACCAAGGCGAUGACGGGUAGCCGCUGAGAGGGCGACCGGCCACACUGGGACUGAGACGACCGGCCCAGACUCCGUACGGGAGGCA
rnacentral:rRNA from 1 species